rnacentral:piRNA from 1 species
UAGGAAGGAGCACAUUGACUAGGCCUAAGU